rnacentral:tRNA from 1 species
GAGGGUAUAGCUCAGUGGUAGAGCUCAUGCUUAGCAUGCAUGAAGUCCUGGGUUCAAUCCCCAGUACCUCCA